UACGAAGGGGGCUAGCGUUGUUCGGAAUUACUGGGCGUAAAGCGCACGUAGGCGGAUAUUUAAGUCAGGGGUGAAAUCCCAGAGCUCAACUCUAGAACUGCCUUUGAUACUGGGUAUCUUGAGUAUGGAAGAGGUGAGUGGAAUUCCGAGUGUAGAGGUGAAAUUCGUAGAUAUUCGGAGGAACACCAGUGGCGAAGGCGGCUCACUGGUCCAUUACUGACGCUGAGGUGCGAAAGCGUGGGGAGCAAACAGG
rnacentral:rRNA from 1 species